UACGUAGGGGGCAAGCGUUGUUCGGAAUUACUGGGCGUAAAGGGCGCGUAGGCGGCUUGACAAGUCACUUGUGAAAUCUCCGGGCUUAACUCGGAACGGCCAAGUGAAACUGUCAUGCUAGAGUGCAGAAGGGGCAAUCGGAAUUCUUGGUGUAGCGGUGAAAUGCGUAGAUAUCAAGAGGAACACCUGAGGUGAAGACGGGUUGCUGGGCUGACACUGACGCUGAGGCGCGAAAGCCAGGGGAGCAAACGGG
rnacentral:rRNA from 1 species